GACGAACGCUGGCGGCGUGCCUAAUACAUGCAAGUUGAGCGCUGAAGGUUGGUACUUGUACCAACUGGAUGAGCAGCGAACGGGUGAGUAACGCGUGGGGAAUCUGCCUUUGAGCGGGGGACAACAUUUGGAAACGAAUGCUAAUACCGCAUAAAAACUUUAAACACAAGUUUUAAGUUUGAAAGAUGCAAUUGCAUCACUCAAAGAUGAUCCCGCGUUGUAUUAGCUAGUUGGUGAAGUAAAGGCUCACCAAGGCGAUGAUACAUAGCCGACCUGAGAGGGGGAUCGGCCACAAUGGGACUGAGACACGGCCCAAAAUCCUAAGGGAGGGAACAGUAGGGAAUCUUCGGCAAUGGACGAAAGUCUGACCGGGCAACGCCGCGGGAGGGAAGAAGGUUUUCGGAUCGUAAAACUCUGUUGGUAGAGAAGAACGUUGGUGAGAGUGGAAAGCGCAUCAAGUGACGGUAACUACCCAGAAAGGGACGGCUAACUACGUG
rnacentral:rRNA from 1 species